rnacentral:tRNA from 3 species
GGCCAGGUAGCUCAGUUGGUAGAGCAGGGGACUGAAAAUCCCCGUGUCGGGGGUUCGAUUCCCUCCCUGGCCACCA